GACGAACCGAGCGAACGUUGUUCGGAAUCACUGGGCUUAAAGGGCGCGUAGGCGGGCUGCCAAGUCUGGGGUGAAAUCCCGCGGCUCAACCGUGGAACUGCCUCAGAUACUGGCGGCCUCGAGGGAGAUAGGGGCGAGCGGAACUAAUGGUGGAGCGGUGAAAUGCGUUGAUAUCAUUAGGAACUCCGGUGGCGAAGGCGGCUCGCUGGAUCUUUCUGACGCUGAGGCGCGAAAGGCUAGGGGAGCAAACGGG
rnacentral:rRNA from 1 species